AUAGUUUAUCAACCCAACCUUGUUUCUAGACAAUUUGGUCUAAUCCAAAUCAAACCUCAGCCUAUAUUCCCCAAAAAGGGGUCCAUCAUCUUUUAUAACUCCCUUCAUACUGAAGACGAAGGCAAAGAGCUGUCGAAGAAACUAGCUGAUGCUUCUCUCGACAUUCGACCAGUUAUUUUUCGACCAUCAUUCUUAUGCACUCCUGAGUUU
rnacentral:lncRNA from 1 species